UUUUUGUAAUUUUACAUUUACCCUAUAAUUCCUGGUUUAUUUUUCAAAUUAUUCAUUUUCAUUCAUUUUCUGUUUAUUUAAUUUACUAGACACCAACACUGCAACGGAACAACAAAAGAUCCCUCCCAUUCUACUGAAUGAAGCUGUCUACACUAUAAGCACCGUGACAUCUUUAGAGAACUGCUGUAACACUCGUGGAUCUGAGACCAGGGUUUUAUUUAGCACAAGAUCAGUGAUGGACGGACAGACUCCAGCGAGACAGAUGGGCAGAUGUGGCUUCACAGCAUUUUAUAGGAUGAAUUCAUCUGAUGAAAAUAUGUUUCAACCUGUCCACGCCAGCAUCCAGCUACCUUGACUAGCUUCUGCCUUGUAACAGAUGAAUUUGCACCAGAAAUGCAACCUUUGAACUUCCUCCACUGUAAAAGCUUGUAAGUCUAUUUAUUCUUCUAUCCUAUCCCUGCAUGAUUAUACAGUAUGUCUAGGUGCAAUUUAUUAUUAGCAAUUAGCAUUGGUUUUGUUUUUGUUUUUUUCCUGCUUUCCUAAACCCUAAAAAAACACAUGCCACUUACUAUUUUUUCAGGAUUCAAAUAAAAUAAGUUAACAUUUUUGUUAAAGAGUAAAA
ensembl:lncRNA